rnacentral:rRNA from 1 species
CCUACGGGAGGCAGCAGUAGGGAAUAUUGCUCAAUGGGGGAAACCCUGAAGCAGCAACGCCGCGUGGAGGAUGAAGGUUUUCGGAUUGUAAACUUCUUUUGUUAGAGAAGAUAAUGACGGUAUCUAACGAAUAAGCACCGGCUAACUCCGUGCCAGCAGCCGCGGUAAUACGCGGGUUUCAGGGGUUAUUCGGAGUCACUGGGCGUAAAAGGGGCGUAGAGGGGUUAACAAGUCAGAUGUGAAAUCCUAUGGCUUAACCAUAGAACUGCAUUUUAAACUGUUAUUCUGGAGUAUGGGUGGGGUAGGUGGAAUUCUUGGUGUAGGGGUAAAAUCCGUAGAGAUCAAGAAGAAUACUCAUUGCGAAGGCGACCUGCUAGAACAUCACUGACGCUGAUGCGCGAAAGCGUGGGGAGCAAACAGGAUUAGAUACCCUAGUAGUC